UUGAAACUUCAAAGUCAAGUGGCUCCUCUCUCUUAGUCGGUUGGACUUCAGAACAUGAUUUUUCCUCAGAAUGGUCAUGUGGCGAUUCGGCCUUGCCUAGCACUGCUUUACAAGUUGGUAAGUCAAGUACCUGCAUUUCGGGUGCCUUUGAAGCUAGUGGUUCGUCAACUAAAAGAGGAGCUUUAGGAACAGAGGGUACAGCAUAAACUGGCGCCAUCCCCAAACCUGAAUGCCUCAUCACCCUAUCUAAUGUGGAAAGCUCCUCUGCCCGAACAGGGGGUGCAGCAUAAACCGGCACUGCCUGUCUUAUACAGACAGGUGGUGCCACUCCCAGACCUGGAGGCCUCAUCACCCUAGGAGGCUGAGAUGAUUGAGGAAGUGGUGGUGCAGAGAAAACAGGAAUUGCAUUCCGUAUGGUCACCGGAGGAGCCAUCCGAUGGUGUGGGCCAAAAUGCCUGACAGGAAUAUAUGGUGCUGCACCAGCAGCAGGGAACUUCUCUGGUCGAACCCUGUGACUAUCCAUAGCAAAGCUGUCCUUUAAAAUAUUAUUUAUGGUUUGAGCAGUCCUUGGACUCAAUGAUGCAUCACUUCCUGUAUUGUCAAUGGGUCUACUUUGAGAAGCAGGUUUUAGACAUAACGGACUGACCGGUCUACUGCGAGGAGCAGUUCUUGGACAUAUUAGGGGAAGAAGUUUUGAUGUAGUAGAUGAAAGCUGCUGUACACUUGAUGGUCUUGGAUUAGGUGUCGGAAAUUUAAUUGGGAAUGAUACUCUAGCCGCCCUAGCCUUCAAAAUGUACCUUUGUAGUGCACGUGCAACAGUUACAUGCUCUUGCUCAUCAUUUCUUCUUCGAUCUGGUUUUGCACUUUCAGACUGCUGUGCCAAUAAUUUCAGAGAUGACCAAGCUGCCAUAGCUGCAUUCUUUUCAGCUUGCUUCUUAUUCUUUGCUGACUCACCAGUAAAUGUAACGCCCGCCAACUCCACUGUGCAGGUAAAGACAGGAAGAUGUCCUAGACCAGAUCUAAAAGUAGUAUAUGCUGGCAAUGAUGCUCCUACUCUUUGUGAAACUUCCUGUAAGAGAUUCUUAUAUACGCCUGUCUCAUCCAGAAUUCUAGCAGCAAGCGAGUUGGAGGGACCUCGAUUAGAGAGUGAAUUCAACGCAACCUCAGCAGCAGAGUGUUCAGCCUGUCGAAGUGUAGAGCAGUAAUUUGGACUCUCAAACACCUCACCAUUGAAAUUAACCGUAGCCUUAAACCUAGGCGCAUGAUCCGGACCUUCCCUUAUACAAG
rnacentral:misc_RNA from 1 species